rnacentral:tRNA from 1 species
GGCAGUAAAGUUGAGGUUAAGAACAUAGUGUUUGCAAUCGUACAGACCUGGGUUCAAAUCCUAGUUUUGCCA